rnacentral:rRNA from 1 species
GACGAACGCUGGCGGCGUGCUUAACACAUGCAAGUCGAACGGAAAGGCCCUGCUUUUGUGGGGUGCUCGAGUGGCGAACGGGUGAGUAACACGUGAGUAACCUGCCCUUGACUUUGGGAUAACUUCAGGAAACUGGGGCUAAUACCGGAUAGGAGCUCCUGCUGCAUGGUGGGGGUUGGAAAGUUUCGGCGGUUGGGGAUGGACUCGCGGCUUAUCAGCUUGUUGGUGGGGUAGUGGCUUACCAAGGAUUUGACGGGUAGCCGGCCUGAGAGGGUGACCGGCCACAUUGGGACUGAGGUACGGCCCAGACUCCUACGGGAGGCAGCAGUGGGGAAUAUUGCACAAUGGGCGGAAGCCUGAUGCAGCAACGCCGCGUGCGGGAUGACGGCCUUCGGGUUGUAAACCGCUUUCGCCUGUGACGAAGCGUGAGUGACGGUAAUGGGUAAAGAAGCACCGGCUAACUACGUG